ACAUGCUAAGUUGGAACAUUUCCUUAAUCAAAUUCAACAGUCUGCACUUCAGACAACUCACAUCCACUCUAUGGCUGAGGAAGAGGAUCACCACACUACUUUUUAACUACUGUCCUUUUAAAAUUGUUGUCCAAGGAUGGCCUUCUAUGUUUGAACACUUGGGACACCAUUAUAUCACCACUGGACUCCCAGAGGAAAGAGCUCUCAAUAAUCACCACUGGACCUCCAAAGAAGGACCAACAUUUCUACAGGAUCACUGCUUCAACAAGACCACAUCCCUCACUCCAAUGGGACAGCUGCCACCACCCUGACCAACAGGGUCAUAUUCUGAUUUUGUCAGUUUAAGCCACUGUCUUUGUACUAGUGCCUUUAUUGCAAAUUUUUCCUAUUAAAUUGUAAUUCUUACUUGGAAUCCCUCA